GCUGGGUGGCUCAGUGGCUAGAGCACCAGUCCUGAAGUCAGGAGGACCUGAGUUCAAAUCUUAUCUCAGGCA
rnacentral:tRNA from 1 species